rnacentral:rRNA from 1 species
UACGUAGGGUCCGAGCGUUGUCCGGAAUCAUUGGGCGUAAAGAGCGUGUAGGCGGCUUGGUAGGUCACGUGUUAAAGCCUGCGGCUCAACCGCAGAAUCGCACGUGAAACCACCUGGCUAGAGUCCGGAAGAGGAGAGCGGAAUUCCUGGUGUAGCGGUGAAAUGCGCAGAUAUCAGGAAGAACACCCGUGGCGAGGGCGGCUCUCUGGGACGGUACUGACGCUGAGACGCGAAAGCGUGGGGAGCGAACAGG